rnacentral:lncRNA from 1 species
GAGAAUUUGGGAAGAGGUAAGAACAAUUCAUGUGAAUUGUGAAGAGUCCUACAAGAAAGCCAGAUUGUUCCCUGGGGUCUCUUUGAGGGCAGGGAGAGAGAAUGAAAAUACAGAUAAUGAGGAUGACUCUUGGCAGGAGACUGUCCACCUACGACUGGCAUUUCUGCAAGAGUCCUGUAACAACAUUUUGAAGAUAAAAUCAUGCCAUGACUCUGAAAUUGGAAGUACAGAACAUAUAAGAAAAUAAAUCAAGAAAUGAGGGGAAUCUCCCGAAAGGU